rnacentral:rRNA from 1 species
UACGAAGGGGGCUAGCGUUGCUCGGAAUCACUGGGCGUAAAGGGUGCGUAGGCGGGUCUUUUAAGUCAGGGGUGAAAUCCUGGAGCUCAACUCCAGAACUGCCUUUGAUACUGAGAAGCUUGAGUCCGGGAGAGGUGAGUGGAACUGCGAGUGUAGAGGUGAAAUUCGUAGAUAUUCGCAAAGAACACCAGUGGCGAAGGCGGCUCACUGGCCCGGUACUGACGCUGAGGUGCGAAAGCGUGGGGAGCAAACAGG